rnacentral:tRNA from 1 species
GCAGCUCAGUAGGUUAGAGCGUGGUGCUGGUAAUGCCAAGGUUGCAGGUUCAAUCCCCAUAUGGGACA